CCUACGGGAGGCAGCAGUGAGGAAUAUUGGUCAAUGGGCGCGAGCCUGAACCAGCCAAGUAGCGUGCAGGAUGACGGCCCUAUGGGUUGUAAACUGCUUUUAUGCGGGGAUAAAGUCACCCACGCGUGGGUGUUUGCAGGUACCGCAUGAAUAAGGACCGGCUAAUUCCGUGCCAGCAGCCGCGGUAAU
rnacentral:rRNA from 1 species